rnacentral:lncRNA from 10 species
GUUUACAUUCCCACCAGCAGUGUGGAAGUGUUCCAUGAUUGCCGCAUGCAUGCCAACAUCUACUGUUUUUUGAUUUUUUUGGUUAUGGCCGUUCUUGCAGGAGUAAGGGGGUAUCGCACUGUAGUUUUUAUUUGCAUUUCCCUGAUCAUUAGUGAUGUUGAGCAUUUUUUCAUACUUUGUUGGCCAUUUGUAUAUCUUCUUUUGAGAAUUGUCUAUUCAUGUCCUUAACCCACUUUUUGAUGGGAUUGUUUGUUUUUUUCUUACUGAUUUGUUUGAGUUUGUUGUAGAUUCUGGAUAUUAGUCCUUUGUCUGAUGUAUAGAUUGUGAAGAUUUUCUCCCACUCUGUGCGUUGUCUGUUUACUCUGCUGACUGUUGCUUUUACCAUGCAAAAGCUCUUUAGUUUAAUUAAGUCCCAUCUAUUUAUCUUUGUUUUUAUUGUUGGAAACUAUUAUUCUAAGUUAAGUAACUCAGGAAUGGAAAACCAAACAACCUAUGUUCUCAUUGAUAUGUGGGAGCUAAGCUAUGAGGACACAAAGGCAUAAGAAUGGUACAAUGGACUUUGGGGACUUGGGGGGAAGGGUAAGGGGGGGUGAGGAAUAAAAGACAACAUAUAUGGUAUAGUAUAUACUACUCAGGAGAUGGGUGCACCAGGAUCUCACAAAUCACCACUAAAGAAUUUACUCAUGUAACCAAAUACCACCUGUACCCCCAAUAACUUAUGGGAAAAAAAGAUAUUCAUCGACCUAUUCCAGGUCCUCUCUCCACCACUGAGCCUCGUGGGGACAUAAAGAGCUGCCUGCCCUCCCCUGUUCCCCUUGCCUUUUUGCAGCAGGAUUCCUGAAAAUGUUGACUUACAGAUACGUUUUUGAGAUAUGAACGUUUGUUAUUUCCUGGUGCUUAGGGAAGAAAAUAAUUGAUGUUGUGAGUUGGGCGGGACUUUAGGGACUAUGCUGAACAAUCCACUGACCACUGCAGGCUCCCAUUUAUGAUCUUGGGCCAACAGCCACCAGCCUCUGUUCAUGCAGUCUCACUGAGGGCAGUUACUUCUUUGGAGUGGCAUGCCUCUGAGCAGAUAAUUCCAAUAAUCAAUGUCAAACUAGAUAUUGAAACAGCCCAAGUGUCCUGGUAAAGCUAGCUGUUGAUACUCCUGACUGUUGCAUUAUUUUGUUUUUUGUUUUGUUUUGUUUUGAGACGGAGUCUUGCUCUGUCACCCAGGCUGGAGUGCAAUGGUGCGAUCUUGGCUCACUGCAAGCUGUGCCUCCCGGGUUCAAACAAUUCUUCUGCCUCAGCCUCCCGAGUAGCUGGGAUUACAGGUGCAUGCCACCAUGCCCAGCUAAUUUUGUAUUUUUAGUAGAGACAGGGUUUCACCAUGUUGUCCAGGCUGGUCUUGAACUCCUGACCUCAAGUGAUCCACCCACCUUGGCCUCCCAAGGUGCUGGGAUUACAGGCACAAGCCACAGCUCCCGGCCCAACUGUUGCAUUAUUAUUUGCAAAUGUUGGCUAUCCCUGCUGUUGUCUAUAUAUCAAUUUUGUCUACCCAACACAGCUGUAAACUUCUCAAGGUGAGGAGUGAGCCAUCACUCUUUGCACCUCUUGCUGUGAUUGACAUGGUAUACCUUAAGAUAUAUGUUAAUUCCUAUGUCUUAAUAAAUAUUGGCUUAUGGAGAAUUUGUUGGAGCAAGUACAGACCCUAUGUUUAACUUCUUUUAUUCAACAGAAUUAAAAAACUAGCUAGUUCUCUCAAUAAAAUAAUACUUUCUUUUCUUUCUUAAAAUCUAGCUGAUCUGGUCUAAAAUACACAUGUGGGAGGCGGGAUUGUAGAAAUAUCUCAAAUUAAUUAGCGUCUAGCUCUUUGUAAGGUAAUUGACAGUCUGAGUUAGUUGCUUCCCCCACUGCAAAGCAGCAAAAUCUGCUCUCAAAGGCUUCACGUAGCCGGGAAAACUCCGUUCCCAAUUCAGAUCCUCUGGGGAGGGCAUCAAUUAUUUCCUAUUGUUUUUAGCACCGAUUGUUCUGUCUAAUUUGAAAGGAUCCAAAAAAGGAAAUGAUACUUGGCAUUAGUAUCAUUCUCCAUCACUCUUGAAAGAUAUAUGAAGGGAAUGUUGGCGCAAUCAGUCUAGAAACAUAUUUCUCCCAUAACAAUAAGCCAGUUCUUUUUGCUUUGAAUCAGAAAUAGCUCCAUCAGGCCCAUGAAGGAAAGGGAAACAAAACUGAGUGCCAAGCAUAUGAUAACAUGCUCAGCAUCAUAUGACAUUAGGGGAUUGCAAAUUGAAACAACAGUACCACCACACACCUAUCAGAAUGGCCAAAAUCCAGAAGACUGACAUCACCAAUGCUAGUGAGAAUGUGGAGCAACAGGAACUCUCAUUCACGGCUGGUGGGGAUGCAAAGUGGUGGAGCCACUUGGGAAGACAGUCUGGCAGAUUCCUAAAAAGGUAAACAUACUCUUACUAAACAAUCUAGUAGAUUUGCUCCUAGGUGUUUACCCAAAGGAGUUGAAAACAUGUCCACACAGAAAACCUGCACAUGAAUGUUUAUAGCAGCUUUACUCAAAAUUGCCAAAAAUUGGAAGCAACCAAGAUGUCCUUCAAUAGGUGGGCGGAUAAAGAAAUUGUAUCCAAUUCUAUUUCUAUGAGGAAAAUCUAUUCAUACAAUAGAAUACUAGUGUCAGAGAUUUUUUUUUAACAAAGAGCUAUCAAGCCAUGAAAAGAUAAGGAAGAACUUUAAUGCAUAUUGGUAAGUGAAAAAAGCCAGUUUGCAAAGGCUAGAUACUAUAUGAUCCCAACUGUAUAACAUUCUGAAAAAGGCACAACUAUGGAGACAAUAAAAAGAACAGAGUUUUGGAUGAAGGGAGGGAUGAACAGGCAGAAUACAAACAAAUUUUAGGGCAGUGAAACUAUUAUUAUGAUACUUUAUGGAUAUAGAAUAUUAUGCAUUUUUCAAAACACAUAGAAUAUACAACAUGAAGAAUGAAUGCUAAUGUAAACUCUGGAUUUUUAUUAAUAAUAUUAUUUAAUUAAAAUGAUUUAUUUUACUUAUUUUCAUUAUUAUCUAAAAUGUUAUUUAAUUAUUAAAUUUAGAUGCUACUUAAUUUUUGCUUUAUUAUUAUUAUGUUAAUAUCAUCAACUGUAACUAGUGUACAACACUAAUGCAAGAUGUUAAUAGGGGAAAUCGUGUUGGAGAGAGAGAUAUGUGAGAACUCUGUACUUUCUUUUCAAUGUUUCUGUAAACAUAAAGCUGCUCUAAAAAAUUAAAUCUAUUAAAAAAAAAACUGAGUGGAAAAA